AAGGCCCUAGCUUAAUUAAAGCGCCUGGGUUGCAUUCAGGAGAUGUAGGUUAAUGUCUUACGGGUCUUA
rnacentral:tRNA from 1 species